UACGAAGGGGGCUAGCGUUGCUCGGAAUCACUGGGCGUAAAGGGUGCGUAGGCGGGUCUUUAAGUUAGGGGUGAAAUCCUGGAGCUCAACUCCAGAACUGCCUUUGAUACUGAGGAUCUUGAGUUCGGGAGAGGUGAGUGGAACUGCGAGUGUAGAGGUGAAAUUCGUAGAUAUUCGCAAGAACACCAGUGGCGAAGGCGGCUCACUGGCCCGAUACUGACGCUGAGGCACGAAAGCGUGGGGAGCGAACAGG
rnacentral:rRNA from 1 species